GAUGAACGCUAGCGGCGUGCCUAAUACAUGCAAGUCGAGCGAACAGACGAGGAGCUUGCUCCUCUGACGUUAGCGGCGGACGGGUGAGUAACACGUGGAUAACCUACCUAUAAGACUGGGAUAACUUCGGGAAACCGGAGCUAAUACCGGAUAAUAUAUUGAACCGCAUGGUUCAAUAGUGAAAGACGGUUUUGCUGUCACUUAUAGAUGGAUCCGCGCCGCAUUAGCUAGUUGGUAAGGUAACGGCUUACCAAGGCGACGAUGCGUAGCCGACCUGAGAGGGUGAUCGGCCACACUGGAACUGAGACACGGUCCAGACUCCUACGGGAGGCAGCAGUAGGGAAUCUUCCGCAAUGGGCGAAAGCCUGACGGAGCAACGCCGCGUGAGUGAUGAAGGUCUUCGGAUCGUAAAACUCUGUUAUUAGGGAAGAACAAAUGUGUAAGUAACUAUGCACGUCUGGACGGUACCUAAGCAGAAAGCCACGGCUAACUACGU
rnacentral:rRNA from 1 species